UACGUAGGGUGCGAGCGUUGUCCGGAAUUAUUGGGCGUAAAGAGCUCGUAGGUGGCUUGUCGCGUCUGCCGUGAAAGCCCGUGGCUUAACUACGGGUCUGCGGUGGAUACGGGCAGGCUAGAGGCUGGUAGGGGCAAGCGGAAUUCCUGGUGUAGCGGUGAAAUGCGUAGAUAUCUGGAGGAACACCGGUGGCGAAGGCGGCAUCCUGGACCGGCAGUUGACGCGUGAGGCGCGAAAGCCAGGGGAGCAAAGCGGG
rnacentral:rRNA from 1 species